AAAGGAGGGAGCCGCCGAAGGCAGGUCUGAUAACGGGGGUGAAGUCGUAACAAGGUAGCCGUAUCGGAAGGUGCGGCUGGAUCACCUCCUUUU
rnacentral:rRNA from 1 species